GAUUAAGCCAUGCAUGUGUAAGUAUAAAUAAUUUUACUUUGAAACUGCGAAUGGCUCAUUAUAUCAGUUAUAGUUUAUUAGAAAUACUUUACUACUUGGAUAACCGUAGUAAUUCUAGGGCUAAUACAUGAGUAAAUCCUCAACUUCGGAAGAGGUGUGUUUAUUAGUAUGAAAACCAUAUAUCUUCGGAUAUAAUAGUGAGUAAUAAUAACCUUUCAUAUCGUAUGUCGUAAGAUAACGAUAGUUCUUUCAAGUUUCUGCCCUAUCAGCUUUCGAUGGUAGUAUAUGGGACUACCAUG
rnacentral:rRNA from 1 species